rnacentral:rRNA from 1 species
CCGUGGGGGGUGUCAAUGCAGUCGACGCUGAAGCACCAGCUUGCUGGUGUGGAUGAGUGGCGAACGGGUGAGUAAUACGUGAGUAACCUGCCCUUGACUCUGGGAUAAGCCCGGGAAACUGGGUCUAAUACUGGAUGCUACAUGUCACCGCAUGGUGGUGUGUGGAAAGGGUUUACUGGUCUUGGAUGGGCUCACGGCCUAUCAGCUUGUUGGUGAGGUAAUGGCUCACCAAGGCGACGACGGGUAGCCGGCCUGAGAGGGUGACCGGCCACACUGGGACUGAAACACGGCCCAAACUCCUACGGGAGGCAGCAGUGGGGAAUAUUGCACAAUGGGCGAAAGCCUGAUGCAGCGACGCCGCGUGAGGGAUGACGGCCUUCGGGUUGUAAACCUCUUUCAGCAGGGAAGAAGCCACAAGUGACGGUACCUGCAGAAGAAGCGCCGGCUAACUACGUGCCAGCAGCCGCGGUAAUACGUAGGGCGCAAGCGUUGUCCGGAAUUAUUGGGCGUAAAGAGCUCGUAGGCGGUUUGUCGCGUCUGCUGUGAAAGCCCGGGGCUUAACCCCGGGUGUGCAGUGGGUACGGGCAGACUAGAGUGCAGUAGGGGAGACUGGAAUUCCUGGUGUAGCGGUGGAAUGCGCAGAUAUCAGGAGGAACACCGAUGGCGAAGGCAGGUCUCUGGGCUGUUACUGACGCUGAGGAGCGAAAGCAUGGGGAGCGAACAGGAUUAGAUACCCUGGUAGUCCAUGCCGUAAACGUUGGGCACUAGGUGUGGGGGACAUUCCACGUUUUCCGCGCCGUAGCUAACGCAUUAAGUGCCCCGCCUGGGGAGUACGGCCGCAAGGCUAAAACUCAAAGGAAUUGACGGGGGCCCGCACAAGCGGCGGAGCAUGCGGAUUAAUUCGAUGCAACGCGAAGAACCUUACCAAGGCUUGACAUAUACCGGAUCGUUCCAGAGAUGGUUCUUCCCCUUUGGGGUCGGUAUACAGGUGGUGCAUGGUUGUCGUCAGCUCGUGUCGUGAGAAUGUUGGGUUAAGUCCCGCAACGAGCGCAACCCUCGUUCCAUGUUGCCAGCACGUGAUGGUGGGACUCAUGGAGAACUGCGGAUCAACUCGAAGAAGGUGGGAAGACGUCAAAUCAUCAUGCCCCUUAUGUCUUGGCUCACGCAUGCUAAAUGACGUUACAAGUGCAAUCUGGUGAGGUGGAGACUUAAUCAAGCCGUCAGUCAGAAUGAGUCUGCAACUCGAAACUUAUAGGAAUCGAAUUCCCCUGAGUAUC